AGUAGGUUUGGUCAUUUAAAAGGCCCAAUUCACAUACUCUUAAAAUUGAUGUUGAUUUGCAUAAUGUCUAUCGGUUCCAGAGAAUUCAGGCGGGAUAGCAAUUGUUUCCAAUCAGCAAAGUUUAAGUUUAUCUUUAUGGAUUUGUGAAUAAAAUUUCAUUUUAUGAAGGGCCCACUAUUUAAAAUUCUGUGGGGCCCGGGUGGCAAUCGCCAGCUAGACACAAGGGCCAGUCUGCCACUGCUUUUUUAAUAUUAUUUAUGAAAUAGACAACCAUUGCUUCUUUAGGAUACACCAAGGUGCCGGACAGAAACAAGUUCCGAAAAGUGCCCUUUCAAUGAAGCUUGCGAUGAGGUGUGCGAAAAUCCAGUUGGCCAUAAAUGCCGAACAUUAGAAAACAUCGCACUAAGGAAAGCAACAACUCAGUCAUCGACAUGCUCUGGAGGCUAUUCAGAUAAAGUUGUGGAUGGAAAUCUUGACACAAACUUUAAGCACGGCUCAUGUAGUCACACAUGUGGUGGAUUGGUAGAUUGGUGGCGGGUGGAUUUUGGAAAAAGUUCAUUAGUGCACUCAGUACAAAUCACAAACAGAGGCGAUUGCUGCGGCGAACGACUUUCAAAUUUCAACAUCAGAAUUGGCAACAGUACGACAGGGAUGGGGAAUGACAAUCCUCUAUGUGCUGUCAAUCAAGGAAUUUCUCAAGGGGCAACGAAAACAUUUCUUUGCAGACCGCGCAU